AAAUUGGAGAGAGAAGACGAUGCCUCUGAUUUUUCACUGGGACACAGCUGGGUGUGGCUGUGCCGAAAGGAGAGGAAGGGGACAGAGCGAGUGGAGAGGAUGGAAACAGAGAGGCUGACAGAUUGGAGAGAGAUGGGAGCUACGGGUUUAGUGCCAGGAUCUAUGGGAUUUUCUGCCAUUUUUGAGAGAGGAAUUAUCAGAGAGAGAUACAGAACGGAAAGCAUGCGUGUAUGCAUUGUUUAGGGUUAAGAGGUCACGCACAGAGUCGGUGAGGAGGGGAUGGGUGAGGGAGGAAUGACAGUGUGUGGGUUUUCAGCUUUCUCCCUUGAUUCAAAAGAUCCAACACAACCAUACAGAUCAAACCAUCCAUUCACACAGGAGCCACAAAACAGACCAUUAGUGAGAAACAGAGUCUCAUCCACUCGAAUCUCGAUUUCCUAGCAGCAGAAAGUUGGAUCGUUAGCCGGAAAACAUGCCCCUUUGACUUCUGAGGACCCUGAUUCUGGGAGGAAGAAUACACUGCAUUGCCAUCUUUAGGU